rnacentral:rRNA from 1 species
GGAAUUUUCCGCAAUGGGCGAAAGCCUGACGGAGCAACGCCGCGUGAGGGAUGAAGGCCUCUGGGCUGUAAACCUCUUUUAUCAAGGAAGAAGAUCUGACGGUACUUGAUGAAUAAGCCACGGCUAAUUCCGUGCCAGCAGCCGCGGUAAUACGGGAGUGGCAAGCGUUAUCCGGAAUUAUUGGGCGUAAAGCGUCCGCAGGCGGUCCAGAAAGUCUGCUGUUAAAAAGUGGAGCUUAACUCCAUCAUGGCAGUGGAAACUUCUGGACUAGAGUGUGGUAGGGGCAGAGGGAAUUCCCGGUGUAGCGGUGAAAUGCGUAGAUAUCGGGAAGAACACCAGUGGCGAAGGCGCUCUGCUGGGCCAUAACUGACGCUCAUGGACGAAAGCCAGGGGAGCGAAAGGGAUUAGAUACCCCUGUAGUC